AGAAAGUAUUUGACUGAACGAAUGCAGCAUGUUUUGAUCAAUGGAGCUAAAUCAACUGGUAUCACUGUAACUUUUGGCGUGCCCCAAGGGUCUGUUUUGGGGCUGUUGUUAUUUUUAGUUUAAAUAAAUGAUAUUAUGCAAAAUCUAGCAUGCAAA
rnacentral:lncRNA from 1 species